ACCUUCUGUGGUUUGGGCGAUCG
rnacentral:miRNA from 3 species